rnacentral:rRNA from 1 species
GGUCUCAGUUCGGACUGUAGGCUGCAACUCGCCUACACGAAGUUGGAAUUGCUAGUAAUCGUGGAUCAGCAUGCCACGGUGAAUACGUUCCCGGGUCUUGUACACACCGCCCGUCACACCAUGGGAGCUGGUAACACCCGAAGUCAGUAGUCUAACCGCAAGGAGGACGCUGCCGAAGGUGGGAUUAGCGGACUGGGGUGAAGUCGUAACAAGGUAAC